ACAGACCGCAGUCCCGACGCCACGAUAAAUGGAUGCUCCGACCUGUUCAAAAAUUUCUAUAUGAGUGGUCUUCCAGAUAUUGACAUUUGGAAGUACAAAGAAUUUAGCAAAGGUGACGUACAAUGCAAGGGAAACUUGAAAUACAGCUCACCGCUUCUGU